AUUGAACGCUGGCGGCAUGCCUUACACAUGCAAGUCGAACGGCAGCACGGGAGCAAUCCUGGUGGCGAGUGGCGAACGGGUGAGUAAUAUAUCGGAACGUGCCCAGUCGUGGGGGAUAACGCAGCGAAAGCUGUGCUAAUACCGCAUACGAUCUAUGGAUGAAAGCGGGGGAUCGCAAGACCUCGCGCGAUUGGAGCGGCCGAUAUCAGAUUAGCUAGUUGGUGAGGUAAAGGCCCACCAAGGCGACGAUCUGUAGCUGGUCUGAGAGGACGACCAGCCACACUGGAACUGAGACACGGUCCAGACUCCUACGGGAGGCAGCAGUGGGGAAUUUUGGACAAUGGGCGCAAGCCUGAUCCAGCAAUGCCGCGUGCAGGAUGAAGGCCUU
rnacentral:rRNA from 1 species